rnacentral:rRNA from 1 species
GACGAACGCUGGCGGCGUGCUUAACACAUGCAAGUCGAACGGAAAGGCCCUGCUUUUGUGGGGUGCUCGAGUGGCGAACGGGUGAGUAACACGUGAGUAACCUGCCCUUGACUUUGGGAUAACUUCAGGAAACUGGGGCUAAUACCGGAUAGGAGCUCCUGCUGCAUGGUGGGGGUUGGAAAGUUUCGGCGGUUGGGGAUGGACUCGCGGCUUAUCAGCUUGUUGGUGGGGUAGUGGCUUACCAAGGCUUUGACGGGUAGCCGGCCUGAGAGGGUGACCGGCAACAGGGGGAUGGAGCACGGGCCAGGACUCAGAGGGGGGGAAGCGGGGGGGAUUAUGGAACAGGGGGGGGAGGCCGAAGGCAGCACCGCCGGGGGGGGGAGGAGGGCCUUGGGGUGGAAACCCGCUUCCGCUUGGGAGGAGGGGGGAGGGGGGGAAAGGGAAAAGAAGCCCCCGCCAAACGACUUC